GGAGGGAGCAUGUGGGUCUGCAGUACCGUGUGGCGGGAGCGAACCCGCGCCCGGCAGUGGCGGGGGCUGCUCCCAGCUUCAGGCUGUCACGGACCUGCCGCCUCCUCCUACUCCGCAUCCGCCGAGCCUGCCCGGGUCCGGGCGCUUGUCUAUGGGCACCACGGGGAUCCAGCCAAGGUCGUCGAAGGUAUAACCAGGGAAUUGUUUCAGAGGUUUCCUUGGAUAUUCCUACAACUGAUAACAGCUGCCAUUUCUUCAGCAUCUACUGUACUCAAGAACCUGGAGCUAGCUGCUGUGGGAGGAUCAGAUGUCCGUGUGAAGAUGCUGGCGGCCCCUAUCAAUCCAUCUGACAUAAAUAUGAUCCAAGGAAACUACGGACUCCUUCCCGAACUGCCUGCUGUUGGAGGGAAUGAAGGUGUUGCACAGGUCAUAGCGGUGGGCAGCAAUGUGACCGGGCUGAAGCCAGGAGACUGGGUGAUUCCAGCAAAUGCUGGUUUAGGAACCUGGCGGACCGAGGCUGUGUUCAGCGAGAAAGCACUGAUCCAAGUUCCGAGUGACAUCCCUCUUCAGAGCGCUGCCACCAUGGGUGUCAAUCCCUGCACAGCCUACAGGAUGCUGAUGGACUUCGAGC
rnacentral:sRNA from 1 species